ACAGCCACAAGACCCUGGAAUUUGAAGUCACAUUCCUUCAAGCAGUGGUCACAAACCAGCAGAUAAACUGCAUUAUGGUGUCUAUGUGCAAAUUGAGUUUCAUCAGGCUGCAGAAGGCAGCGUUGGUUACACUGCAGCUCCAGGAGGAGUGGCAAGGCAUUUCAGAAGCAAGCUAUAUUACAGCAGAGUGGGAGGAAUUACGGGACAUUUACUGUUCAGGACCAAGAAGAUGAUGUAAGAUGCCAAUUAAGAAACUCAAGAUUGGUCAUCUUCUGUUCACAUUGGUGGAAGAUGGAGGGGCCUUGACACCACACAGAAGAUAAUAAUGUCUCACAUGAACAGGCUGCAAAGUUUCCAACUGCUCGAAACUGGCAGAUCAACCAGGAAAUUACAAAUCUUUAUAGGAUGAGAGGUAAGCUGGUGAAACUGUUUCUGAGAUGAAGUCUUGCAGGAAUGUUAAAAGGUUUAAAGCAAGAGAUCUAAGAGAAAAAUCUAUAAUGUGAGACCCUGACUGGAAGAAGGCUGAUUAGGUUGGGAUUAGCACUUGUGGUGAUACAUCUGAAAAAGAUGGCUCUGUGGUGGUAAAAAUCCAUGAAGAUCUGAUCUUAAAACUGCUAUGGGCUCCUGAGGGAAAGCUCUUAAGGGCCAUCUUGGAUUGACAUUAAACCCUGUGAAAGGCUGCAUGUUUGUAAUCAGUUUAGUGAUGUACAAAGCUGAUGUUUGAAACGAGGGGUGAGAUUGGUGCCUGACAAUUCAGUUACAGUUUGUAACAGAAACCCAGCACUGCAAUAACAAAUAUGAAUGUGAUGUACAGUUGUGGCUUUACUUUUCAUUUACAUAGGCAGUUAUGAUCUGGAAUUGGAUUUAUGAACAGAAGGGAAAGCUGCAAAGUUUGUCAGACUCAUCCUUUGGGCACAAUCCCAGAUGUUAAUUUUGCAUGUAUUUCAGGCCUUUCUGGUGUAACAAUUUGCUGCUGGAGUCAAGUUUAAGAAGUGGAAAAGAGACUGAUAAUGUUGUACAGUAGGGAUAUAGCCAGAAGCAAUAAAUGAAUUAAUAAAGCCCUUCAUUAUCUCCUCAUUAUCAAGUAUAAAUUCAGCCAGUGCAAAGUUAAGAAAGAGUAAAAGUUGCAGAACAGAGAGAUGAAGUAUUUCAUUUUGCUAUAUUGCAAUGUCCUGGCUCUCAGACAUUGUUUCAGCUUAAAGAGGGUUAUGAUCAGUCUUAAACACAAAAGCUAAAGGCUAUAUUCUCCUGUGUAAGCAAAAAUAAUUCUGUAAUGUGGUUGGUUUAUUCCAGUUUAUACUGUGUGUGUUUUGCAGCCUUCUGGAAAUAACUCAAAGUGCCUCUGAUGUGAGGCUGGUGAAUCAGCUCUAAGUUUAUCUGAAUGAAGUAUUCAUCUGAUAAUCUUGCCUACUGA